GAUGAACGCUAGCUACAGGCUUAGCACAUGCAAGUCGAGGGGAAACGAUAUUGGAAGCCUGCUUCCGAUAGGCGUCGACCGGCGCACGGGUGAGUAACGCGUAUCCAACCUGCCCACCACUUGGGGAUAACCUUGCGAAAGUAAGACUAAUACCCAAUGACGUCCAUAGAAGACAUCUGAAAUGGAUUAAAGAUUUAUCGGUGAUGGAUGGGGAUGCGUAUGAUUAGCUUGUUGGCGGGGUAACGGCCCACCAAGGCGACGAUCAGUAGGGGUUCUGAGAGGAAGGUCCCCCACAUUGGAACUGAGACACGGUCCAAACUCCUACGGGAGGCAGCAGUGAGGAAUAUUGGUCAAUGGGCGAUAGCCUGAACCAGCCAAGUAGCGUGCAGGAUGACGGCCCUAUGGGUUGUAAACUGCUUUUAUAAGGGAAUAAAGUGAGUCUCGUGAGGCUUUUUGCAUGUACCUUAUGAAUAAGGACCGGCUAAUUCCGUGCCAGCCGCCGCCGUAA
rnacentral:rRNA from 1 species